GACGAACGCUGGCGGCGUGCUUAACACAUGCAAGUCGAACGGAGUGGCGAACGGGUGAGUAACACGUGGGUGACCUGCCCUGCACUUCGGGAUAAGCCUGGGAAACUGGGUCUAAUACCGGGUAGUGUGGGAUGGGCCCGGGGCCUAUGCGCUUGUUGGUGGGGUAAUGGCCUACCAAGGCGGCGACGGGUAGCCGGCCUGGGAGGGUGGACGGCCACAUUGGGACUGAGACACGGCCCAGACUGCUACGGGAGGCAGCGGUGGAGAAUAGUGCGCAAUGGGCGGAGGCGUGAUGCAGCGACGCCGGGUGGGGGAGGUCGGCAUUCGGGUUGUAAACGCCUUUCACCAUCGACGCGGUGGAUGGAGAAGAAGCACCGGCUAACUACGUGCCAGCAGCCGCGGUAUAC
rnacentral:rRNA from 1 species